UACAGAGGUCUCAAGCGUUGUUCGGAUUCAUUGGGCGUAAAGGGUGCGUAGGUGGUUGGGUAAGUCAAAUGUGAAAUCCCGGAGCUCAACUCCGGAACUGCAUUCGAUACUGCCCGGCUCGAGGAUUGGAGAGGAGACUAGAAUUCACGGUGUAGCAGUGACAUGCGUAGAGAUCGUGAGGAACACCCGUGGCGAAGGCGGGUCUCUGGACAAUUCCUGACACUGAGGCACGAAGGCCACGGGAGCAAACGGG
rnacentral:rRNA from 1 species